UCUUUUGGAAGCCAUGUCUUUUUGUGUCUUCCUGUUUCUAUGGCUAAACGGUGUUCACUGAGUCUGUAUUUCGUUAGUGUGCAUCUCAAAUUUGUCUCUUUUAUUUUUGUUAGGUAAUGUGCAAGUGUAUAUUUCCUGUUUAGGGUCAGAUAGCAUUGCAUUUUGCUUUGGGAUUGUGUUUUAGAUUGCCAAUAUUCGUCAUAAAUGUCUUUUAGGUUUUGGGGGGUUUGGUUAAUCCAAACAUUUUGUGUGGAUGUGGCCUGGUAUUUGGCCUUUAAAGUGUUGGAUGUCUCUGGAGGAGGGUGACUGAAGACCAGGUUGGUAGGGGAGUUAUCUUUGCUCAACUCUUGGUGUUUCAGGGCUUUAUAGUGGAAUGAGUUUGGGUCACUCAGACUUACAUGUUUGAUGAACUUGUUUGCCCUUUUCUGAAUUUUUAUCAGCAGAGGGUAUUGGCCUAGUUCUGCCCUACAUGCGUUAUUAGUUGUGUGCCGGUGGACUUUUAGAAUGGCUUUACAAAAUUCAGUAUGCAGGAUCUCAACUGGGUGUUUUUCCCAUUUAUCUAGGUCCUGAUUUCCAAGUGGGCCCCACACUUCACUGCCAUAAAGGGCAAUUGGUUCUAUUACUGAUGAGAACAGUUUUAGCCAGAUUUGGACUGGGAUUUCGAAGGGAAUUUGUCUUCUUAUGGCAUGAAGAGCCCUGCGUGCCUUGUCUCUUAAUUCAUUCACUGCCAUGUUGAAUGAUCCUUUAUUAUUUAUUCUAAGGCCUAGCCAGGGCCCAGGUCUGGCAGAACUUUUGAAGAUGGUCUAGUUGAGUCUGGAGUCCCUUUUCUGUCGGUGAAAGAAUGACAAGAUCAUCUGCAAAGAGCAGGAAUUUGACUUCACUGUCAUGUAGAGUGAGUCCAGGAGCUGAUGAUUUUUCAAGUAUGCUUGCUAGCUCAUUGAUGUAUAUAUUAAAUAAAGUUGGACUUAAUGAGCA